CAACGCCGCGUGGGUGAAGAAGGCUCUCGGGUCGUAAAGCCCUUUUCUGGGGGAAGAAAGUCCUGAACGGUACCCCGAGGAAGAAAGCCACCGGCUAACUACGUGC
rnacentral:rRNA from 1 species